rnacentral:rRNA from 1 species
UUUCGAAUCUCAGCUUGGUAGGGAUACCCGCUGAAYUUAAGCAUAUAAUUAAGCGGAGGAAAAGAAAAUAACCAUGAUUCCCUCAGUAAGGGCGACUGAAGCGGGAAGAGCUCAUUCUGUGAAUCUGCACCAUGUGGUGCCGAGUUGUGGAAUAUAGAAGCACAUCAGCUGCAGACCCCGGUCCAAGUCUUCUGGAAAGGAGCGCUUGAAAGGGUGAGAGCCCCGUAUCUGGCUGGGUGGCUGUAGUAUCAGCAUGUGCCUUCGACGAGUCGAGUUGCUUGGGAUUGCAGCUCUAAGUGGGUGGUAAAUUCCAUCUAAAGCUAAAUAUCGGUGGGAGACCGAUAGCGUACAAGUACCGUGAGGGAAAGAUGCAAAGAACUUUGAAAAGAGAGUUAAAGAGUACCUGAAAUCGCUGAAAUGGAAGCGAAGGAAACCAGUGGCAUUCUCCAACAUUUUCCCGUGCUGCUUGCGGCAUGGGCGCUGUGUUGGAGAGUCGGCCAGCAUGGGUUUGGAUCGGCGGAAGACAUUCUUCAGGAGGCAGCUAGAAUUCCUAGCAAUCACUGAGGAAUGGUGCGCUGGUCGAGACCGAGGCUAGUCACGUUUGUGCUCGUGAUGCUGGCGAAAAUGGUUUUCUUUCCCCCGUCUUGAAACACGGACCAAGGAGUCUAACAUAUGUGCGAGUAUAUGGGUGGCAAACCCACAUGCGAAAUGAAAGUAACAGUGGUAGGACCUUCAGGGCACUAUCCGCCGGCCAAUAUCCCUCGGGAGAACGGUCUGAGUGUGAGCAUACAUGUUGGGACCCGAAAGAUGGUGAACUAUGCCUGAAUAGGGUGAAGCCGCGGGAAACCGCGGUGGAGGCUCGUAGCGGUUCUGACGUGCAAAUCGAUCGUCAAAUUUGGGUAUAGGGGCGAAAGACUAAUCGAACCAUCUAGUAGCUGGUUCCCUCCGAAAUUUCCCUCAGGAUAGCUGCAAUCGAUGUCAAUUUUAUCAGGUAAAGCGAAUGAUUAGAGGAUUUGGGGAAGUAAUUUCCUCGACCUAUUCUCAAACUUUAAAUGGGUAAGAACUCGGGGUUGCUUAAUUGAACCCUGCGGUUGAAUGACGGUUGCUAGUGGGCCACACCGGGUAAGCUGGUUUGGCGAUGCGGGAUGAUCCGAACGUUGAGAUAAGGUGCCAAAGUACUCGCUCACCUAGAUCCCACAAAAGGUGUUGGUUCAUAAAGACAGCAGGAC